CCCGCCCUCUGCUGUAUUUGACCAUGUUGGCGCCUAUACAGUCGUGUACUGGCUUAAUUUGGCCUCUAUACAUGUUCUUUUCUGCAGCUAGAGAUUCUAGGAAACCACUUUUUGCGUCACGCCUGCACUUCAUGUUUUUGCUGAAUGGACGUUUGUGAAGUCAGGCGUGUUGAUCAGCUGAUGGGAGCGGAGCUGCUGUUGUGAGUCUGAGGAAACGGAGCGUUACUUUGCUUGAGGUAUCUGCGGACUAAAAUAGACAUACCGCUACUAUUCUACCUCAGCAGCUGAAAACUACAUCACAGAAAGCGAUAACGUUAUGCGCAUGCAGUGGAUUUCAUUCCUUGUGAUUCCUCGCUGCUGUUGUUCCAGUGAUGUCGGG